UGGGUCUUCAGUCUCUGUGUGAGUGAUGCUGGUGGUGCCCUAGGUGGUCAUGGCACUGAAGGGGCUGCUUUGUGUUCUUUUUCUUUCCACUUCUAUUGCUUCUGGGCAGUGCCUUGACUCAGCAAUUGGCUGUCUGUUAGAUCUUCGCAGUGUAGUUGGUUCUUUGUGAAUAACUGAGUGGAGGGCAGAGAAUGUAGAGGCUGGUAUCAGCCACGUUCUGCUGUGCAAGGUGCUGUGAGGCAUGUUCUUCCUGGACUGCUGUAGGAUUGCUGGAGAGAAUUCUGUAACCCAUCCACCAGAUCAGUUUGAGAAGGAAAUGCAUUUACUGUACACUGGAGAAGCUGGAUGAAGAAGAGAUGUGGAAAAAGCCAGAAGACAACUAAGUCUGGAGCUUCAGCUGGGAGAGCAAGGCUAGACCUUGAGAACAGCAAAGGAAAUUUGAAAAGGUGGCAACAUUGGGUAGAGAGAGCAUCGUGAACUGAGCAACAGAACCAGAGGCACUGAAGACGGAUUAUUUCAUGCUGGUUAGAGUGUACCUUUGGGAUGGCAUCCAGUUUAGGAAGGUUUGAAGGAUCAUGAAGGAUUCUUUCAGACAGGACAGAAAAAGUGUGAAAGUGAGAAGUGAAAUAUGUGAAACUGCCUUAGGAGCAGGUGCUGUUUUCAGCUGCAAAGGUUGGCAGAAGUAUGUGUCUGUUGAAUGCGUUGGUCCAACACCUGAGAUGUUUGCCCUCAGCUGCCGGUUGGUUUCAGAGCUGCUUUCCACGAACUCUGCCCUAGGGCACUUAAACACAGACCUGCUAAAAGAGUGGAGAGGAAAGGAAGAACACAAAAUUCAUUCUGGAUUUGUUCCAUCCAGAAUUAAGUUGUUGGUAAAUGGGUAGCACAGCUGGUCUUGGGUAACAUCAAUAGGUUAAUGAUCAUUUCUGUGAGUACUUAUACAGUAACAUAUGAUUAUAACAUCUAGACUAAAAUGAAUUUAAUAGAGAACCCAAAAAUAAUCAGAGCAACCCUCAUUGCAUUUUGGAUGGUUUUACGUUUACAUAUGUUGUCAAUACAGUCAGAAUGGUUUUAUUGCCCUGGAAUUUAAUGCAUUUUAGAUUUGCUAAUCUCUCUGAAAACUAUACAUCAGUUUAAUCAAAGGAUUAAGGCUUCUUUAGUAAAUCAAAAAUAUACUGCUCAAUUAAGUCAAUCUUUCACAUCAGCUUAUAAGUCUUUGGAGAUUUUGAACUUGUAAAAGGGGAUUUUUCAAGUAGGAUUUUACACUCCUACAGCAAUGCAGGAAAACAGAAACACAAAAUAAAUAGACUUUACAC
ensembl:lncRNA